rnacentral:rRNA from 1 species
GACUACCAGGGUAUCUAAUCCCGUUUGCUCCCCUGGCUUUCGCGCCUCAGCGUCAGUAUCGGCCCAGCAACCCGCCUUCGCCUCCGGUGUUCUUCCCAAUAUCUACGCAUUUCACCGCUACACUGGGAAUUCCAGUUGCCCCUUCCGUACUCUAGCUUGGCAGUUUCGAAAGCAGUUCCGGGGUUGAGCCCCGGGCUUUCACUCCCGACUUGCCAUGCCGCCUACGCGCCCUUUACGCCCAGUAAUUCCGAACAACGCUUGCCCCCUACGUAUUACCGCGGCUGCUGGCACGUAGUUAGCCGGGGCUUACGUCGGGUACCGUCAUCCACCACAGGUAUUCUCCAUGGCGAUUUCUUUCCCGACUUUCGAAGUUUACAUCCCAGAGGGAUUUCAUCCUUCACGCGGCGUUGCUGGGUCAGGCUUUCGCCCAUUGCCCAAAAUUCCCCACUGCAGCCACCCGUAGG